AUGGGUGGUUUCAGCCGAGCCAGUUGCUUCCUCUGCCUGGGCAUCCCACCGCCUCCCCGGGCCGAACCACGCCGAGCCGCUGUGGCACGAACCUUCGCCUUAGACGAGCUCGCGGCCUUCGCCUUGGACGAGCUCGCGGCGGCGACCAGGAACUUCAGAGACGACUCCAGCGUCGUUGGUCGGGAGGCGAAUCUCUACAAAGCUUAUCUCAAGAGCAUCAACAAGAUCGUUAAUAUUAAGCUGCAGCAUGCCGUUCGUACUAGUGGACCAUCGGAGCAACUCAACAGGGAGUUUCUCGCCCAUGUCCUGACGCUGAGCGCCCUGCGCCACCCGAAUGUCGUCAACCUCAUUGGCUUCUGCGCGGACGGCGAAUACAAAAUCUUGGUUCACGAGCACGUCCCAUUGGGUUCUCUCGAAGAUCACCUCCAUCCCCGUGAUCGGUCUCCAGCAGGCAAAGCACCGUUGGACUGGAACACAAGGAUGAACAUAGCUGCCCGUGUGGCCAAAGGUUUAGAGUAUCUGCACCACAAAGGUGUGGUGUACCGUAAAUCCAUGGGUAGCUCGGACAUCUUGCUCGGAGAUGGCUACCACCCAAAGCUGUCCCAGUAUGGACUGGCAGACCUUGGACGGUUGCUUGCAGAGGAUAACAAAGACUGGAGUACUGAAUUCUGGGGAAGCACUACCAUUGCCCCUGAGACAUUCGUUACCGGGAAGGUGACCAUGGAGUCGAACGUGUACAGCUUCGGCGGACUACUGCUGGAGAUGAUCACGGGGCGGAGGCCCAUUGACCCCGCCCAGCCCGCCGCCGAGGAUCGGAACCUUAUCGCAUGGGCCACACGACUGAUGAAGGACAGGAGCCAAUUCCGAAGGAUGGCAGACCCGGCGCUGCAGGGCCGGUACCCGUCCAUGGAUUUGGAGGAGGCCCUGACAGUUGCUUCCAUGUGCGUCCACCAACAGCCGGCCAUGAGAUCGCCCAUCGGCACCGUCGUCACGGCUCUGUCUCGCCUCGCAUACGAUGUCGAUCCACCCGAAUCAUCACACCCUGCAGCACCUAGUUAA
rnacentral:rRNA from 1 species